rnacentral:rRNA from 1 species
GACAGAGGUGCCAAGCGUUAGGCGGAAUCACUGGGCUUAAAGCGCGUGUAGGCGGCUUUGUAAGUCGGGUGUGAAAUCCCUCAGCUCAACUGAGGAAGUGCGCCCGAAACUACAUUGCUUGAGUACCGGAGAGGGUCGCGGAAUUCCCCAAGUAGAGGUGAAAUUCGUAGAUAUGGGGAGGAACACCGGUGGCGAAGGCGGCGACCUGGACGGAUACUGACGCUGAGACGCGAAAGCGUGGGUAGCAAACAGG